rnacentral:rRNA from 1 species
CUGAACCAGCCAAGUAGCGUGAAGGAUGACUGUCCUAUGGGUUGUAAACUUCUUUUAUAAAGGAAUAAAGUCGGGUAUGUAUACCCGUUUGCAUGUACUUUAUGAAUAAGGAUCGGCUAACUCCGUGCCAGCAGCCGCGGUAAUACGGAGGAUCCGAGCGUUAUCCGGAUUUAUUGGGUUUAAAGGGAGCGUAGACGGGUCGUUAAGUCAGUUGUGAAAGUUUGCGG